rnacentral:rRNA from 1 species
UCCGUAGGCGGUUUAAUAAGUCAGUGGUGAAAUCUGGUCGCUCAACGAUCAAACUGCCAUUGAUACUGUUAGACUUGAAUUACUGUGAAGUAACUAGAAUAUGUAGUGUAGCGGUGAAAUGCUUAGAUAUUACAUGGAAUACCAAUUGCGAAGGCAGGUUACUAACAGUGGAUUGACGCUGAUGGACGAAAGCGUGGGGAGCAAACAGGAUUAGAUACCCUUGUA